AGUAUAUGGAUACUGACAUCACCAAAACAGUUUAAGGGAUUUGUUCCAUGUUAGAGGAAUAGCCUAGACGUUCUGAAGGUGUACAGACUUCUGAAGCUUGGAAACACAAAGCUUGGUGCUACAGCCAGACCCUGCUGAGACAUCGAAGAACUUCAAGGUUUUCUCAUAAGUGCACUUUGUAAUGUUAUGUUUCAGACCAUUAACACCAGAAGGCUUCACAUACGGCACAGUCACGUUGCCCAGAAGGACAGCCAAGCGUCCCUCAUACAUGGACUUUCUAACCAUACUGCUGAGUUUGUCUCCCAAUCCCUUGGAUAAAUUGAACUGUUCAGCGCUGAACCCAGCCAGAACAAAUCUACCUGGAUGGUGGUUUCAGACAGAGACUUAA
rnacentral:lncRNA from 1 species